UAUCCAUUUGAACAAGAAGCUUGUGAUUGAUUUGUUGUUGCUGACACAAUGAAUAAAUUUGAAGUAGGAUGAAAAUUGCCUGCGUAUUCAGUGACCUUUAAGGGAAUGGUGGGGACUGCACACAUGCCAACAUUUAAGAAAUUAUGUUCUGGCUAUCUGGAAGCAAAGUACAUCCAGUGGGAGAGAUAUUCAGAUGCAGCCCUCCAAAUGCAAUGACAGAGAGGAUUGCGAAGAGAUGUAGCAUUUUGUUCAUGACAGAUGAACUGCAAGAUCUCUCAUUUUGGGGAAUGCAACUUGCCAUUCGCCAUCUUGAAAAGAUUAGAGUUUGCUUUCAUUGAGAGAAUGCCUGAAGUCAGGAAAUAAGGUGCUCUAAUACUUGAUUUUUUGCCUAGCAAAUAUGCAAAGAUUGAUGCUCCAAUAAAUGAG